GCAUGCAAAAAUCUAUCAGUUUUUUUCCUGGGAGGAUCAAAAUUGUUUUCCACAAGGGACCUCUGGGGUACCUUCUGCAGCAUCCAACUGAUGCAGCUAAGCUGUCAAUCCUUCUCUGCAGGACAGGUCUGCACCUCUGUGGGAGGACAUAGUCAAACAAAAUGCCCUGACUGUGGUCUGUCAGAGAGGAGGGGAUGCCUCAGACAGGACAGAGGUGCUGGGGGACUACAUUCUGCAGUUUGGUGAAUAUAAGGGAAAAUCCUUCCGGUGGCUUUUGGAAAACAAUGUAAGCUACACAAUCUACCUCAUCAAGCACACAGAGAAAGAAUAGGCUGCAGGGGUGUUAAAGACUGAGGGGCAGAGUAAGGCCAGUUUAUUGUCCUUUGUGGGUAAUGCCUGCAGCUUUGACGAAAUCCAAAGACUUCUAUCUUAUGAGUCAGAAAAGCCCGCUGCUCGAGCAGCCUCAGAGGAUGACCAGCUGGUUGGCUUUGGCAUUCUUACCGAGAGCACCUGGCGGGAGUUGUGGGAAAGCAAGGCUGAUGGCUAUGCAGCCUUCAUCCAGUUUUUCAGGGACUCAGAUGUUAAGACUGCAGCAGUACCUGAGGAAGAAAGAGUCAGCCUCUGUCUCCUCUCCACCAAUUCUUGCCCCAAGCGCACCUGAUGAAGCCAUGAGUAGGUUUCUUUCAAUAUACACAAAAUGUGUUCGUUUUUUGUAACUGUACAUCAAAAUAUAAGUCAGUCAUGGAACAUGUGCUUUUAAACAAAAUAAUAGUAAAAUUUCUGGAUAUAAGUAGUUGGACCUGUUCUUAUCAUCAGAAGUGUGGAUGAGGACAGAUCUCCAAUCUCUGGGACUGUGGCCUGGAUUCCACCAUAUGCUCAAGCCAGGAAAUGCUCUUUCAUUAUGGCGUCUCCCUCCACAGCCAGAACUCAGUGACACUGUAUCGGCACUCCCAUUCCGUAUAAAGCCAGAUAUAGUCUCAGCUGGUGUAGGCAGGCCUCGAGUGAUAGUUGGCACCAGUGGGCAAUACUACAUCUUUGCUUCACGUCUUCGCUGCAGGAUGUGCAACAGGAUAUGGUUUGCUGACAGUACUCAGUGGUUGGAUAAACUGCCGAAGCGGUUCACAAACAUUCUGCCAGCAUUCCUAACCUACAAGAAGUCCAUUUACAAGUCUGUGCUUCUUGAGCUGAGGCACACUGGCAAGUCACCCUCAGACAUGGCAAACCAGGUGAAUGAGCUGAUUCACCUUAAAUUUGAACAAGCUCAUCUGGCAUACCUUUGCAGCAUACAGAAUGUCCGGGAUGAGGCUGGGGUCUACGGGCAGACGACUCUUAGUCACUUUGUGAGGAAGGAUGACACACCACAGUCACCACAGAGCCUAUCAAAACACAGAUGAGUGGUGUGGAGUCUCUGUCUCUGCUCACUAUCUGACUGAUUGCCUUAUUGAUAAGUGCCAGCGCCAGCUGACAGCUAUCACUAAACUCCUGCAGGGCACUUUUGGACAGGUCUUUCAGUCUGAAUACACCGGGAAUGUGGCACGAAAAGUUACUUUGACAUCUGGCACCAUGUCAAGCUAUGCAGCUAUGAACUAGAAUUGGAUGAUUGCCUCCUUGGUGAUGGUGCAGUCUGAGGCAGAGAAAUCCCUUGAACCCAUGUACCAGGGGUUAGCCAAGACGUACAGUGAUGCAGGGGUGGAGAAGGCCAAUUACCACUGGGUAGGCAGGGAUUGCAGCGAUCUUCACCAUGGAGAACACCUCAACUGGGAUGCCUGGAGGACCACACAGUCUAUCACCUAUGAGGGCACUGAUGGGACUCUGGUGAACACCUGUGCAUCCUGUACACAGUACAACCCCAACAUUGUGGUCCAGAUAGAUUUGUUUCACUGUAUGAGAUGUUUCACACAGGAGUGCACUUCAGAGCAUCAUCCCCUGUACAGCACCUUUGUCAGCUCCUCUCCACUGCCUUUUCUGUCGUGGAUCAGGAAGACCCGCUGAAGCUGAAAGAUGCUAAUCGGUUCUAUGGAAUUCAGCCACCAAACCCUACAAACCAGCACACCAGAAAGCACUGUAGGACCAGAAUUCCACUGCCAACAGAACUGGUUGAUAGAGCAUUUCCACCUGACCACAAACUCAUGCUCUAAAUGCUAAAGACGUGGCGGAUCCAGAAGGUGCACAUACUUGGUGGGCGGCUCAGUGACCCUGAGAUCAAAGAGGGAAUCCUGUACAAGUAUGGGGAAACUCUGCAGCUUAAUCAUGUCCCUGGUGAAGGUGUAUAAGUCCCAAUCUGGAUUCCAGUCAAGGGAACAUCACAACAGGAGGGGUAUCAUUUCCACCGGUCCCAUUGGAUUACUGGAACAACUCGUGUGUCCUGCGAAAUGCCAGAGUGCCAUCCAGUUCAACUUGAUUGGAACAAACAUAGGGUGCAAAGGAAAGAUGAUUCUUCUGUUCUUCUGCCUCUCCCCUCUGGCCCAACACCAUCCACAAACCCAGCACCACCCACUGUUGUGACUGUGAGGUUUAAGUUCUUCCAACUUAAACCUGCUGCAAUCACUAAGCUACAGAUGUUGUCACAAGGAAGCAUGGAACCUCCAGAUAAAAUAGAAACCUCAAAAACUCCACCCCUGCUAUUGCAGUCCUCAUCAAGAUAUGCCCACACUGGAUCAAUCAAGACUGGUGGACAAGUGUUCGUCUUGGACCACAAACGCUGGACAUCACCAAUGAAGGAGGCUAUCUAUGGCCUCCUAGUCAAGUAUCAUGGACAGAAAGACACGUUCAAGCUUGUAGAUCAAGACUACGUAGCUAUGGUCCAUCGGCCUGCCACAAAUCCAAACAGUCUUCUUCACCCCACAACCAAAUACCAUAUAACACAGUACAUAAAACACCAGGCUAAAGAGUUGAACGCAAGCUCAUCUCUGAACACCAGUCCAGAAAAACCUUUGGAGACACAAAAACUGUGGCAAAGUUUAACAGAGGGAGUGCUCAUGUCCCAGUUGUAGAACUGCCACCAGCCAUUGUGAAUCCAGCAGAUCCGGUCUCGCUGCCAGCAUCUGAAAAGCCACUAACACAGGAGAAUGUACAGAAAAUGGUAUAGGACAUAAGCAGCAGCAACAAAAACCCAGACAGACGAAAAAAUUCCUCUCGUGCAGGCAUCCAAAAUCCCGUAACCAAAGAUCAUCAGUUCAUCACUUUCAUCAACAAGGGCAAGUGUUUAAAGCCUAUUCUAAGGAGAGACUGACAAAUCCCAGAAUGGCUUUUGAGAAGUUUGCGCAGACUGACUUUUUUCGGCAUGAACUGCAAUUAAUAAAGCGCAGAGUGGAGGAAAACUCUGAGAAGACGAGGAAACUAUCAGAGCCUCAACAUCAGGGAAGAAUGUGCCAUUUCUGUUGCACAGAGCUGAAACAGGGCCGAACAACACAUUCACAAAGGGUUCCCAGGAGUGGCUGGGAAAAACAUUUACUGCCCAAUCAAAGUCCUUGCUUUAUAAAAAGACAGAAGUAUGACCAAUGAAAUUACCUAAAGGGUUUUAAGCCCCGUCAUUCUAUGGCGUGGGAAAGGAGAGGUGGGCAGCAGAGAGAAAGAAAUUGUAAAUCUGAGGUUUUGUGGAUAGACUUACAUACAUUUCAUAUUUUAAUAAUGUGUUGUUCAUGUUGCAGCAUUCUGUUGCUCCAUCCAUUUGUUUCAAAUACUGUAAAACUUUUAACAAUAAAUAGCACAGUCCCAAACACAUUUUGACAAAUAAACGCAGGUCCCCAUUAAACACAUGGUCUGGUUUUCAUAUAAGUUCUUUAGAUGCAUAAAACCUCCUAAACCCUGCUGGGUCGCCCACUUUAGCUGCUUCUUAGUUGCUUAGAUUGUUCAAAAAAAUAUUAAUGUUAAGACUAAACGUAUGAUCAAUAUGUCAAAAUGAACAUGCUACACAUCCUUGGUUAGAUGCUCAACAGAUCAAUCGUUCAGUUCAUUUAACAGAAACAACAAGCCCCAAACUUUUAUUCUUAUAGAUUUACCAGUGUAACCUCACCUGCAUGGUACAAGAGAUGAAAAGGAAAAUGAAGUGCCGACUCCUGUUACCUUUGAAGCGCUCGUUAAGUCUGCUUGUUAAGUCCCAAUGUGUCCCUUCCUUUAUUAUUUAUAUUCCUUUGGUCUGUAAGGGUCCAGGGUUUUGAAGAAUCAAAACAGCUUUUCAU